GAUGAAGAACGCAGUGAAAUGUGAUAAGUUAUGUGAAUUGCAGAAUCUCGUGAAUCAUCGAAUCUUUGAACGCACAUUGCGCCCAAUGGUAUUCCAUUGGGCAUACCUGUUUGAUUAUCAGAAUCCUUUCAAUUAUCAAACUUUUAUAUAUAGAGAUGUAUGUAAAGAUGUUUGGAAUAAAGUUGAGAAAAGUAGUAUUGUUUAUAAUAUUACUUUCUUAAAAACCAGAAAUAUUAUGUUUUGAUUUUUCUUCACCUCAUUUUGUAUGAAAUUUUAACAAAUGAGUAUGAGUAAAAAUAACAAUACUUUGGAUGACCUCAAAUCAGGUAGGGAUACCCGCUGAACUUAAGCAUAUCAAUAAGCGGAGGA
rnacentral:misc_RNA from 1 species